rnacentral:rRNA from 1 species
ACGAACGCUGGCGGCGUGCCUAAUACAUGCAAGUCGAACGCUUCUUUCCUCCCGAGUGCUUGCACUCAAUUGGAAAGAGGAGUGGCGGACGGGUGAGUAACACGUGGGUAACCUACCCAUCAGAGGGGGAUAACACUUGGAAACAGGUGCUAAUACCGCAUAACAGUUUAUGCCGCAUGGCAUAAGAGUGAAAGGCGCUUUCGGGUGUCGCUGAUGGAUGGGCCCGCGGUGCAUUAGCUAGUUGGUGAGGUAACGGCUCACCAAGGCCACGAUGCAUAGCCGACCUGAGAGGGUGAUCGGCCACACUGGGACUGAGACACGGCCCAGACUCCUACGGGAGGCAGCAGUAGGGAAUCUUCGGCAAUGGACGAAAGUCUGACCGAGCAACGCCGCGUGAGUGAAGAAGGUUUUCGGAUCGUAAAACUCUGUUGUUAGAGAAGAACAAGGACGUUAGUAACUGAACGUCCCCUGACGGUAUCUAACCAGAAAGCCACGGCUAACUACGUG